GAUGAGCGCUGGCGGCGUGCCUAAUACAUGCAAGUCGAGCGAACGGACGAGAAGCUUGCUUCUCUGAUGUUAGCGGCGGACGGGUGAGUAACACGUGGAUAACCUACCUAUAAGACUGGGAUAACUUCGGGAAACCGGAGCUAAUACCGGAUAAUAUUUUGAACCGCAUGGUUCAAAAGUGAAAGACGGUCUUGCUGUCACUUAUAGAUGGAUCCGCGCUGCAUUAGCUAGUUGGUAAGGUAACGGCUUACCAAGGCAACGAUGCAUAGCCGACCUGAGAGGGUGAUCGGCCACACUGGAACUGAGACACGGUCCAGACUCCUACGGGAGGCAGCAGUAGGGAAUCUUCCGCAAUGGGCGAAAGCCUGACGGAGCAACGCCGCGUGAGUGAUGAAGGUCUUCGGAUCGUAAAACUCUGUUAUUAGGGAAGAACAUAUGUGUAAGUAACUGUGCACAUCUUGACGGUACCUAAUCAGAAAGCCACGGCUAACUACGUGCCAGCAGCCGCGGUAAUACGUAGGUGGCAAGCGUUAUCCGGAAUUAUUGGGCGUAAAGCGCGCGUAGGCGGUUUUUUAAGUCUGAUGUGAAAGCCCACGGCUCAACCGUGGAGGGUCAUUGGAAACUGGAAAACUUGAGUGCAGAAGAGGAAAGUGGAAUUCCAUGUGUAGCGGUGAAAUGCGCAGAGAUAUGGAGGAACACCAGUGGCGAAGGCGACUUUCUGGUCUGUAACUGACGCUGAUGUGCGAAAGCGUGGGGAUCAAACAGGAUUAGAUACCCUGGUAGUCCACGCCGUAAACGAUGAGUGCUAAGUGUUAGGGGGUUUCCGCCCCUUAGUGCUGCAGCUAACGCAUUAAGCACUCCGCCUGGGGAGUACGACCGCAAGGUUGAAACUCAAAGGAAUUGACGGGGACCCGCACAAGCGGUGGAGCAUGUGGUUUAAUUCGAAGCAACGCGAAGAACCUUACCAAAUCUUGACAUCCUUUGACAACUCUAGAGAUAGAGCUUUCCCCUUCGGGGGACAAAGUGACAGGUGGUGCAUGGUUGUCGUCAGCUCGUGUCGUGAGAUGUUGGGUUAAGUCCCGCAACGAGCGCAACCCUUAAGCUUAGUUGCCAUCAUUAAGUUGGGCACUCUAAGUUGACUGCCGGUGACAAACCGGAGGAAGGUGGGGAUGACGUCAAAUCAUCAUGCCCCUUAUGAUUUGGGCUACACACGUGCUACAAUGGACAAUACAAAGGGCAGCGAAACCGUGAGGUCAAGCAAAUCCCAUAAAGUUGUUCUCAGUUCGGAUUGUAGUCUGCAACUCGACUACAUGAAGCUGGAAUCGCUAGUAAUCGUAGAUCAGCAUGCUACGGUGAAUACGUUCCCGGGUCU
rnacentral:rRNA from 1 species